ensembl:rRNA 5S_rRNA 5S ribosomal RNA
CUCUACGGCCAUACCACCCUAAACAUGCCAGAUCUCAUCUGAUCACAGGAGCUAAGCAGGGUCUGGCCUGGUUAGUACUUCAUUGGGAGAAAAUAGAAAUAUGAAUAUGAAACUUGGGAUAGAGC